rnacentral:rRNA from 1 species
UACGUAGGUGGCAAGCGUUGUCCGGAUUUACUGGGCGUAAAGGGCGUGCAGGCGGUUUGUUAAGUCUAGGGUGAAAGCUCCCGGCUCAACUGGGAGAGGUCCUUGGAUACUGGCAGACUUGAGGAGGGUAGAGGAGAGUGGAAUUCCCGGUGUAGCAGUGAAAUGCGUAGAGAUGCGGAGGAACACCGAUGGCGAAGGCAGCCCCCUGGGCCGACAUUGACGCUCAGGCACGAAAGCGUGGGGAGCAAACAGG